rnacentral:tRNA from 1 species
GCUGUUGUAGCACAGUCGGUAGUGCACCGCCUUGGUAAGGCGGAGGUCGACGGUUCAAGUCCGUUCAACAGCUCCA